rnacentral:rRNA from 1 species
UACGAAGGGUGCAAGCGUUGCUCGGAAUUAUUGGGCGUAAAGGGUAGGUAGGUGGUAAUAAAAGUCUGGGGUGAAAUCCCUGAGCUCAACUCAGGACUGCCUUGGAAACUUUAUUACUAGAGUGCUGGAGAGGUCCGCAGAAUUCCCGGUGUAGCGGUGAAAUGCGCAGAUAUCAGGAGGAACACCGGUGGCGAAGGCGGUUCUCUGGGCAUGAUCUGACGCUGAGGAGCGAAAGUGUGGGGAGCGAACAGG